CUCAGUAGGGCCAGAUCGCUCUUCCAGCGCGGGUUGGUCCACCAGGCAGAGCCCCAGCCAGGGCCUGUCAGGUACCCAGGGAGACCGGAAAUGUAGCCAGGAGACAGCAGCGCGCACAGUCACCUGGUUUCAGUGUCAGCCUGGUUGCUCCUAGAUGUUCCUAACUUGCUCCAUCUCAGACCAACGACUCCACGGGCCAUUGGGCUCCUUCUUACACAGGCUCCAGAGGAGCGUGGACACCACUGGCGGUCUGAAAAUUUGGCAGCCAGCAGUCUCCAGAGCGGGGUCGGAGGCGCGCAAGUGGGUGUUUUGGAAAUAUUUGCUGUGUCUCAGGGGAUUGUAGGAAUACGAGGAGUUUUCAGCAACAAAUUUUUAGCGAUGUCAAAAAAAGGAAAACUCCAUGCAAGUGCCAAGUUCACAGAUGACUGCAAGUUCAGGGAGCGUUUUCAAGAAAAUAGCUAUAAUACCUAUGCCUCAGCAAUACAUAGAACUGAAAAAACAGGGCGGGAGUGGUAUGUGGCCCUGAAUAAAAGAGGAAAAGCCAAACGAGGGUGCAGCCCCCGGGUUAAACCCCAGCAUAUCUCUACCCAUUUUCUGCCAAGAUUCAAGCAGUCGGAGCAGCCAGAACUUUCUUUCACGGUUACUGUUCCUGAAAAGAAAAAGCCACCUAGCCCUAUCAAGCCAAAGAUUCCCCUUUCUGCACCUCGGAAAAAUACCAACUCAGUGAAAUACAGACUCAAGUUUCGCUUUGGAUAAUAUUCCUCUUGGCCUUGUGAGAAACCAUUCUUUCCCCUCAGGAGUUUCUAUAGGUGUCUUCAGAGUUCUGAAGAAAAAUUACUGGACACAGCUUCAGCUAUACUUACACUGUAUUGAAGUCACGUCAUUUGUUUCAGUGUGACUGAAACAAAAUGUUUUUUGAUAGGAAGGAAACUGGAAUUCUUUGUACUAAUACAGGGAGCACACUCCUUCAGUUCAGCAAGACAUAAAGCCUUUUGCUUUAUGCUUGAGGGAUAUUUAGAACUUUGUAUUUUCGGAAAGUUAAAUAACAGGGACUACGUAUUUUUCUGACUUUUACAGAUUAACCUGAAAGAACAUACAUGAUACAUUUUUAUUUUUGGUUUCCAAAGAAUAUUUUGAUGCAGAUAAAAUAUUUUGUUAACUUUUGUUUUUUUUUUGUUUGUUUUCUUAAAAGUACCUCUGCAUUGAGCAUAUUUUCUUACUUUUAUUAUUUUAAUUAAUAUGACAUAAGCAAUCAUUUUAUGCUGUUUAUGAAUUAUAAAUGUGUUUAUAGCUCAUUUGUAAUAUGGAAAUCUUUUACAUUUUUCCUAUUCACUGCACUUUUUUAUUGUUUUUAUUUCUAGCCAUACCUCAGAUAAUAUGUUUAGUUUUACAUUUUAAAAUGUUUAAAUUCUCUUUCACAGCACCAAAGGCUCAGCUUGGAUUUGUGUGUAUGUGUAUGUCAAUUCAUGACAUUAUGUGGAAUCCUGCACCUUUGGUGGCUGGGAUAUGAUGGGUUAGAAGCAAGGAGAAAAUAUAAGGACUUUUUGAUGGAAUUAAAUGUGGGAGGUAAGGAAAAGGAUUUAGAGGUAAAAGUACACUAAGUUUGCAACAUUUAUUGAGAUCUAAGUCUGUCUUGCCUUCAUUUCUCUUUUUAUCUCCCCCUUGCCCUCAUUCUUGAACAGCUGGAGGAAUACAUUUUAUUCUGUCCAUGAAGCAUACACUAUGAAAUUCAAGUGCUUAAAAAUACUUCUAUGACUCUCUGCUAUCCCACUGUAUAGAUCCACAGGGAGCAAACACUUAGAAAUGAUAGAGAACUGAAGGAGAUCAAUGGUUUAACAGUUAUCCAUGCCAAGUCCCAUUGUCAGAAAUAUUCUUAUUACUCAGUCAAACACUCUUUGAGCUUCCCUUCCUAAAGGUAACCAUUACAGUGAAUAGAUGUGCCCUUUUAUAAGGAAACUUCUGAUGUUUAUUUAAAAAACUGGCCUUUUGAUAGAGGUAACUUAAUUUGGGAAUUUGUUAUGUUGAAAUGGCAUUUAAUUUCAACCUAAAUACUGACUGCUGGACAUAAAUCACAGAAAAUUUAACUUAAGAAAAUUUACAAAAUUUAUUCUCAGGUAAUCAUUUUAAUAAAGUUCUGCAAAAUACACAUGUUUAUCUUACAUUCAGAAAUGUGGCUAAAAAGGCAUAGCUAAAGGCUAAACAUAUGGCUUUAGUAGUAACAAAAGGGUUCAUAGAAACUUCAUGGUUUGCAUUUAAACAUGUUUAAAGUAUACUUAUAAACUAUUUUUUUCUUAAAGCAAACUACAAUUUAUUUUGGUGCACAAAUACAAAGUGGAAACUUACCAAAAUUGAACUAGCUACCAUAUAAGCAGAUUGCUUUAAUUUGAUGGGAAAAUAGUACACACACAUAUAUAACAAAUAAUAUAUUAAAAAACCCAUCCAUCAACUAAAACAUUUUAUGUAUACAUCAGUAUAGUGCUUCAUUAUAAAGCCAAUUAUCUGAUUAAGCAUUCUUUCCACUGAAUGCAUAAUUUUUAAAUAGCAUAAAAUGAAAUGCUACAAAAAAUUGAACUAAUUUAUACUUUAAAGUAUUUCUGGGUUAAAUGAAACAAUGAAAUUUUUUAGUAUGUCCAACUCUCAUCCAAAUGGCAUAUGACCCUGUUUACACAGCCUAAAGCUAAAAAUAUUACUCUAGUUUAUUCUAAUCUAUUGUUAAGUAUUGUGCACUCUAUACCAAGUUCUUAGGGCACAUGAAAAAUUUUAGCUGCCAAACAGAAACUAGUAAACAUAUGUUCCUAAUAAGUGAAGGGAAAGAUAAUAAUGAUGGUCAACAAUAAGCCACGUCAAUGCAUAAGUUGUAUAGGCUAAAUGUUGCUUGUAGGCUACAUUAAACUCAAAUGUAAUAGUUUAUCUUAUACUCCUGGUUUGAUUUGAUUAGCAUAUUAACGUGAAAGUAGGAUAGCUACUAAAUAUAUAUUAUGCAAGUCAGGAAUCAUUAAUUUCAAAAUUUAAAGCCAUGCUAAAAUUAAAAAGAGAAUAUUAAAUU
rnacentral:sRNA from 1 species